GACGAACGCUGGCGGCGUGCUUAACACAUGCAAGUCGAACGGAAAGGCCCUGCUUUUGUGGGGUGCUCGAGUGGCGAACGGGUGAGUAACACGUGAGUAACCUGCCCUUGACUUUGGGAUAACUUCAGGAAACUGGGGCUAAUACCGGAUAGGAGCUCCUGCUGCAUGGUGGGGGUUGGAAAGUUUCGGCGGUUGGGGAUGGACUCGCGGCUUAUCAGCUUGUUGGUGGGGUAGUGGCUUACCAAGGCUUUGACGGGUAGCCGGCCUGAGAGGGUGACCGGCAACAUGGGGAAGGAGAGACGGCCAGGACCCCACCGGGGGGAAGGAGGGGGGAAUAUUGCACAAGGGGGGGAAGCCGGAUGCAGAAACGCCGGGGGGGGGAUGACGGCCUUCGGGUUGGAACCCGCUUUCGCCUGGGAGGAAGGGUGGGGGACGGAGAUGGGAAAAGGAGCACCGGCUAACUAAGU
rnacentral:rRNA from 1 species